rnacentral:rRNA from 1 species
GACGAACGCUGGCGGCGUGCUUAACACAUGCAAGUCGAACGGAAAGGCCCCUUUGGGGGUACUCGAGUGGCGAACGGGUGAGUAACACGUGAGUAACCUGCCCUUGACUUCGGGAUAACUUCAGGAAACUGGGGCUAAUACCGGAUAGGAAUCCUUGCUGCAUGGUGGGGGUUGGAAAGCUUCGUCGGUUUUGGAUGGACUUGCGGCUUAUCAGCUUGUUGGUGGGGUAGUGGCUUACCAAGGCUUUGACGGGUAGCCGGCCUGAGAGGGCGACCGGCCACAUUGGGACUGAGACACGGCCCAGACUCCUACGGGAGGCAGAAGUGGGGAAUAUUGCACAAUGGGCGGAAGCCUGAUGCAGCAACGCCGCGUGCGGGAUGACGGCCUUCGGGUUGUAAACCGAUUUCAGCAGGGGCGAAGCUUGUGGUGACGGUACCUGCAGAAGAAGCACCGGCUAACUACGUG